GGACAGAUGGGUGAGUGGCUGAAACCACUUCCCUGCUAAGGAAGCGAACUCGCAAGGGUUCCGAGGGUUCAAAUCCCUCUCUGUCCG
rnacentral:tRNA from 1 species